rnacentral:lncRNA from 1 species
CAUCAUCUUCAACUUCGCAUAAAGAACAAGCGAAGAGUAUAAUAACUUUGCGAAGUGGAAAGGUUAUUGACCGACCAGUCCCAGAACAAACUCAAGUCAUACCUGAUUCUGACCCUCCCAAGACAAAAGAAAAGGAUAACGAAGAAACUGAAGCACCAACAUCUACUGAAAAAAUUAAAUGUCCUUUUCCAGCACCAUUUCCACAAAGAUUAAAGCCCUUGCAAAAGCUUGAACCAAACUCUG